rnacentral:RNase_P_RNA from 1 species
CCAGAUAGUUGGACUGUCGCUGUUAAUUUUUAACAGAGGAAAGUCCGGGCUCCAUAAAGACACAGUGCCAGUUAAUGGCUGGCGAAGGUGACUUCAGGGAUAGUGCCACAGAAAAUAAACCGCCUAAUCAAGGCAAGGGUGAAACGGCGAGGUAAGAGCUCACCGGUUUUUUGGUAA